rnacentral:lncRNA from 1 species
GGAAGCACACUGCGGCGAUUCUGGAGAGGUUGUCCUUUUCUGGCAUCAGCGUUGCGGCUCAAGGCAAAGCUGGUCCUGUGCCUGCUGUCCAUUGCCGCUAAGGCCUGCUGCUGCCAUUCAGGCGUGUCUCUCUCUCUCUCUUUCAUGCCGCUCUCUCCACCCCAUCUUGGGACGGCCAGCUCUAAGAAUUCCUGCUACGACACUGAAUUCAACCAGGAGGUGAUGCCACACUCAAUCAGAAACUAUGCUACUGCUGAAGAGGUAUAUUGAGCCCUGCCUGGUUAACCUCCAGUGAGGUUAUUAGAGAAUUGGGAGAGGCUCAAAUCAGCAUCCUGCACCUAGUUAUCAAACCAUUGUGAAUUCUUGAUUCCUGGAUGGCCAGAAAACUUGUCAUUGGUCAAGAGCAACAUUAAGAUCUGCCUGUUACUCAUACUGAUGCUUCCUGCCCAGCAAGUUCAUCAGAGGGCGAGGAUGAAUUACGGUUGCCAUGAAUGUCCUUGUGAGGCAGUUGGGAAGCCUUGGCUGGAUUGUGAAGGAUAUUUGAAAAGUAUUUUAGAGUCCACCAGAUCAUCCAUGUGAGUGACCAUGCAGCAAAAGAAGGAGGGUCCUCUCAGUGAUUAAGGAUUAUGAAGUAUUAAUUCUUCCACUGAUAUCUCAAAAGGUGAUCUGGACAAAGGAACAGGUAUCUCAGAGACAGGGUUUUGCCAUGUUGCCCAGGCUAGAUUUGAACUCCUGGGCUCAAGUGAUCCUCUCGACCCAGCCUCCUGAGUAUCUGUGACUGCAGAACAGUGGUUGGUAGGAUGGCAGAGACAUGGACUUCAGAGAGUUCUUGGUAGAAGACUCAAAGAGCCACCUGUCAUGAGACAUCCCACUUCCUUCCCCAGGUUACUUCCAAGACUGAGCAGCCAGGUUUUUGGUAGAUGAGAACAAAUGUUUCUUCCUGAAGCCCUGGGGCUUCAGGUAGGAAGAAGGACUGCUAUACUUGUUCUCACCCUUGGCUUCUGGCUGCUCCAGUUAAACAUGGUUCCCAUUGAUACAGACAUUAGAGUGGGAAAGGACUUCGUUCAUAGACCGAAGACCCCCAAGAAAGGAAAGUCCUUCCGUUUUGGGAAGGGUGACAUUGAUUUCGUUUAGCUGCUUAAGAUAUGUACUUGCUGUUGUCUUGUGAGACAUGACAUCUGAAGCUGAAGAGGAGUCCCUCUCAUUGUUGUCAUUGUCCCACCGGGACUGAAAGUCUCCCAGUUGAGACAGCAUUUUAGCUUUGAUGUCUGCAGGGCAAUCAUGGAUCAGGAAAUUUCUGCAAAUUAGACUUGGAAAACAAGAUCUUGAUCCUUCUUGUCUUUGGACGAAGACUAAUCAUCACUUUUGACUGAAGGUGUAGUGCUGGAGACUAUGUUGGAGGCAGCACCUGAUGCACUAUCCAUAUUCUUCCCCUUGAUCUUGUCUUAAAGUUUUCCAAAUGGAUUCCGAGGCUUGUCUUUGAUGAAAAGGUCAAACAUACUGGCAGUCAUGUUGUUUCUCAUAAGCUGGAUGUCAACCUCAAUUUCUCCUCUUUAUCCUUCUCUCCUGGUUUGGAUUUCAAGGUAUACCACUGCAUCUUCCUGCUCCCCUAGUCUGGGUGCAGGUCCUGCAGGUACACCUCGGCGAAGCCCAAGUACAGUAGCAGCAGCAGCUCAAAGGUGGCCUCCUCCUCUGACACUGAGGUGGCAUACUUCUCCUUACCCACCUGAAUCACCGAGUACAUGUUGCUUGUACCCUCAGGCUCUUGGUUCUUGGCCCUUGGCCCUAUGCCUGCAACACUGUCACCUGCAAGUGGAUUGGGAACCACAUAGCCCCCGGACCUGCUAAGGCCAUUAAGGACAGGAUGGUGAUGCCUCGGCUGACUGACGUGAGAAGAUUGUCAUGACCCAUGGCCUCUACUGCUGUCCUACCAACAGAAAAUUCAUAAUGUUGUGCAGGCGUUACCACUACCUAGUUCCAGAACAUUGCCAUCACCCCCAAAAUAAAUCUUGCAUUCAUUAAGCAGUCACCCCUAUUUUCCUCCAUCCCUGUCAACCACUGAUUUAUGUUCUGUCUCUAUGGAUUCCCCUGUUCCGGAUAAUUCACGUAAAUGGAAUAAUACAAUAGAUGCCUUUUAUCAUGGGUUUCUUUCACUUAGGAUGUUUUGUAGGGUAAUCCAUAUAGCAUGUAUCAGGACUUCAUUUUUUUUUUUUUUUUUUUGAGAUGGAGUUUCAUUCUUCUUGCCCAGGCUGGAGUGCAGUGGUGCAGUCUCGGCUCACUUCAACCUCUGCCUUCUAGGUUCAAGCGAUUCUCCUGUCUUGGCUUCCCAAGUAGCCAGGAUUACAGGCGCCUGGCACCAUGCCCAGCUAAUUUUUUUGUAUUUUUAGUAGAGACAGGGUUUCACCAUGUUGGCCAGGCUGGUCUCAAACUCCUGACCUCAGGUGAUCCGCCUGCCUCAGCCUCCCAACGUGCUGGGAUUACAGGCGUGAGCCACCAUAGUCAGCCUUCAUUCAUUUUCAUGGAGAAAAAUAUUUCAUUGUAUGAGUAUACCACAUUUUGUUUAUCCAUUUAUCCAUUGAUUGGUUGUUUCUACUUUUUUUUUAGCUAUUAUCAAUAAUAUUGCUGUGAACAUUUGUGUACAAGGUUUUAGUGGACACAAGUUUUUAUUUUUCUUGGGUAUAUAUCUAGGAGUGGAAUUGCUGCAUCAUAUUGUAAUUCUGUUCAACUUUUUGAAGAACUUCCCAACUGUUCUCCAUGGUGGCUGUGCCAUUGUAUAUUCCUACCAGCAGUGUAUGAAGUUACAAAUUUCUCCACAUCCUGAGAACCCCUUUAUUAUUUUCUGUUUUUCUUUUUGAUUAUAGCCAUCCUAGUAGGUGUAAAGUGGUAUCUCAUUGUGAUUUUAUUUUGCAUUUCCCUAAAUGAUUAAUGAUAUUGAGCAUCUUUUCAUGUGCUUCUUGGCCAUUAGUAUAUCUUCUUUGAAGAAAUGUCUAUUCAAGUCUUUGGCAGUUUCUAAAUGAGUUAUUGUCUUUUUGUUGUUAGGUUGUAAGAGUUAUAAUCUGGAUAACAGAUCCUUAUUAGAUAUGUAAUUUGCACAUAUUUUCUCCCAUUUUGUGGGUUGUCUUGUCUUUUUUAUUUUUUAUUGCUUGUGUUUUGGUAUCAUUAUUGAUAAUUCAUUGUUAAAUUAAAGGUCAUGAAGAGUUACUCUUACUUUUUCUUCUAUAAUUUUUAGUUUUAGCUCUUGUAUUCAUGUCUGUAAUCAAUUGAAGUUAAUUUUUAAUAUAGUAUGUGUUAGGAGUCCAGCUUCAUUGUUUUGCAUGUAUCUAUGCAAUUGACCCAAAGUGAUUUGUUGAAAAAUAUUAUUUUCUGAUGGUAUGGUCCUGACACCCUUGUAGAAAUUCAAUUGAAGUUACAUGUAUGAGUUUACUUCUGCAGUCUCAAUUCUAUUCUAUUGGUCUAAAUGUUUAUCUUUAUGCCAGUACCAGCCUGUUUUGGUUAUUUUAGUUUUGUAAUAAAAUAGACAAACAUUUGGCAGAUUAAUCAAGACAAAAAGAAAAGUAUAUAGAAAUAAUAUUAUGAAAGAAAAGGGGGAGCAUAUUGAAAAACACCAUAAAGAUUAAAAAGAUUAAGGGACAGUGUUAACAAUUUAUGCCAAUAGGGUUUGAAAGUUUAGAGAAAAUAGACAAAUUCCUAGCAAAAUAUAAAUUAUCAAAACCUACUCAAGAAAAAAUAGAAAUCUUAUAUAGUCACAAGGUAUUAAAUAUUCAAUUCUUCCUAGAGACCCAAAUAUAUGCUUUCUACCAGUAACUCACUGUAAAUAAAAGGAAAGGGAUAAUACAUUGUGCAAACUCUAGUCAAAAAAAAGUUGGAAUGACAAUAUUAAUAUAAACAAAAGUGGACUUCAAAAGAAGCAAUAUUAUCAGAGAGAAAGAGGGCACUGCUUGGUGAAUUGCCCUCUGAUAAAGACAUAGCAAUACCGGAAGUAAAAAUUGACAUAACUGCAAGGGGAAAUUGACAAAUCCACAAUUAUAUUUGGGAUUUAAAUGCUUUACUCUUAAUAAUUAAUAAAAAUUAGCUAAAAAAUUAAUUUUAGCUAAAUAAAUUAGCUAAAAAGUUAAUAAGGAUAGAUCUGAACAACACUAGAAUAAACUUGUCCUAAUGGACAUUUAUAGACCACUAUAACCAAAAGUGGUAGAAUUCACAAUUUUUGCAAGUACACAUGGAAUAUUCACCAAAAUAAACCAUAUCCUGAUUUAUAAAAUAAACUAACAAACUGGCUUCUCUCACUUAGCAAUAUGAAUUUAAAUUUCCCCCAUAUCUCUUCAUGGCUUUAUACCUCAUUUCCUUUUAUUGCUGAAUAAUGUUUCAUUUUAUGGAUGGGCCAUAAAAUGUUUAUCUAUGCACCUAUAGAGGGACAUCUUGGUUGCUUCCAAGUUUUGGCCAAUAUUAAUAAAGCUGUUAUAAACAUUCAUUUGCAGGUUUUUGUGUUAUCAUGAAUUUCCACUCAUUUGGUUAAAUAACUAGGAAUAUAAUUGCUAGAUAGUAUAGCAAUUCUGUUUAGUUUUGUAGGAAACUGCAAACUGUCUUCCAAAGUGGCUGUAUCAUUUUGCAUUUCCACUAACAGUGACUGGGAGUUCCUUAUGCUAAACAUCCUCUACAGUAUUUGGUGUGGUCAGUGUUACAGAUUUUGGCUAUUCUUUCAGGUGCAUAGUGGCAUCUUAUUGUUGUUUUAAUUUGCAAUUCCCUGAUGAUGUAUGAGGGGACUUCAAAAAUUCAUGGAAAAAUUGAACUAAAAGGUAAAAGUAAAAAAUAUAAACUUCUUAACAUAAGCUCCAUCGAGUUCAAGAUACUUUGUAAGCAAUGAUACCAGCCAUUUGGUUCAUCCCUAAGGAACUGAGGGUUCUGAGAAUUUAAUCAGGUCAAUGAAGUCUUUUUUACGUUAUGAACUGAAGAAAAAUGUGUGCAAUUUAAAGGUUUGUUAAGACUUUGAAACAAAAAGAAGUCAGAAGGAGCCAAAUCAGGACUGUAAGGUGGAUGAAUGCCUAAUGAUUUCCCAUCAAAGCUCUCACAAAAUUGCCCUUGUUUGAUGAGAGGAAUAAGCAGAAGCAUUGUGAUGGGGAAGGACUCUCUAAUGAAGCUUUCCCAGGUGUUUUUCUGCUAAAGCUUUGGCUUUCUCAAAACACUUUCAUAAUAAGCAGAUGUUGUUGUUCUUUGGCCCUCCAGAAAACCAACUAGAAAAAUUCCUUUAACAUUCCAAAAGACUAUUGCCAUGAGCUUUGUUCUUGACCAGUCCACUUUUGCUUUGACUAGACCACUUCCACUUCUUGGUAGCCAUUGCUUUGAUUGUGCUUUAUCUUUAGGAUCAUACUGGUAAAGCCAUGUUUUGUCUCCUGUUAAAAUUCUUCAAGAAAUUGCUACAGGAUCUUGAUCCUACUUGUUAAAAUUUCCAUGGAAAGCUCAGCUCUUGUCUGCAGCUGAUCUGGGCACAACAGUUUUGGUACCCAUUGAGUGGAAAGUUUGCUCAACUUUAAUUUUUCAGUCAGAAUAGUGUAAGCUAAGCCAAUUUAGAUAUCUAUGGUGUUGACUAUUGUUUGUGCUGUUAAUUCUUGUUCUUCUUCAAUUAAGGCAUGGACAUAAUUUUUUUCAAUUUUUUUUCAAACGAUGUGGAAGGCUUGCUGCUAUGUGCUUCAUCUUCAGCAUCAUCUCAUCCCUUCUUAAAAUGAGUUAUCUGUUUGCAAACUGCUGAUUUCUUUUGGAGAAUCAUCCCCAUAAACUUCUCAUAAAGCAUCAAUGAUUUUACCAUUCUUCCACCCAAGCUUCACACUAAAUUUGAUGUUUGUUUUUGCUUCAAUUUUAGUAGAAUUUAUGUUGCUCUGACAGGUGCUCUUUUCAAACUUACGUCUUACCUUUUUAGUGCCUCAAACUACAUCCUGUUCAGGCAUGUUAUAACAAGUUAGUAUGAGCUUAUUUUGGUAUAAAAAAUUUGGACUCCAUAAUUUUUUCAUAAUAUGCAUUUUUCAUUACCUUUUGGAAAACAACUCAUAUCACCUUGAGCUUCUUUUCAUAUGCCUAUUUUCCAUAUGUAUAUCUUCUUUGGUGAGGUGUCCUUUUCAGAUGUUUGUACAUUUAAAAAUCAGUUAUUACCCACUCCCACCACUUCUAUUCAACAUAGUACUGGAAGUACUAUCAAGAGAGAGCAAUUAGACAAGAAAAAGAAAUUAAAGAUAUCUAAAUUGGAAAGGAAGAAGUAAAAUGAUCUCUCUUUGCACAUGAUAUGAUCCUAUGUGUAGAAAACUCCAAAGACUCCACCAAAAAAACCUAUUAGAUCUAAUAAAUGAAUUCAGUAAAGUUGCAGGAUAUAAAAUUAAUAUACAAAAAUCCAUGGCCAUUUUAUUCACAAAUAACAACCUAGCUGAGAAAUCAAGAAAACAAUCCCAUUUAUGAUAACAUAAAACACUUAAGAAUACAUUUGACCAAGAAGAUGAAAGUGCAUCAGUAUAGCCUGCACACUGAAAACCACAAAACAUUGAUGAAAUACAUUGAAGAGGACACAAAUAAAUAAAACGAUAUUCCAUGCUCAUAGAUUGGAAGAAUUAAUGUUGUUAAAGUGUCUAUACUACCCAAAGCAAUAUAUAGAUUCAAUGCAAUCCCUAUCAAAAUCUCAUCAGCAUUCUUCACAGAAAUAGAAAAAAAUCAUACAAUUUCUGUGGAUCCACAAAAGAUCCCAAAUAACCAAAGCAAUUCUGAGAAAAAAAAAUCCUGGAGGCAUCAUACUUCCCGAUUUAAAUUUAUAUUACAAAACGAGAGUAAUCAAAACAAUACAGUAUUGGCAUAAGAGAUACACAGGACAGUGAAAUAGCCAGAAAUAAAUCCAAACAUAUAUGGUUAAUGAAUUUUUGACAAGAGUACCAAAAAGACAAAAUGAGAAAAGGGUAGUCUCUUCAAUAAAUAGGUGCUGGAAUUUCCACACGCAAAAGAAUGAAAUUAGACUCUUACAUUACACCAUACACAAAAAUCAAUCCAAAAUGGAUAAAAGAUCUGAAUGUAAGACCUGAAGCCAUAAAUCUAGAAGAAAACAUAAGGGAAAAGCUCCUUGACGCUGGCUUUGGCAAUGUUUCCUUGGAUAUCACACCAAAACCUCAGGCUACAAAAGCAACAAUAAAUAAAUGAAAUUAUAUCAAUCUAAAAAACUUCUACACAGAACGAAAACAAUCAACAAAAUGAAAAGGCAAUGUACAGAUAAGGAGAAAAUAUUUGCAAACCAUAUAUCACGCAAGGUUUUAAUAUUCAGGAUUUAGGAAGAACUCAUACAACUCAAUAGCAAGACAACAUAUAACCUGAUUUAAAAAAAAUGGGGAAAGGACUUGAAUAGACAUUUCUUCAAAGAUGACAGAAAAUGACCAACAGGUAUAUGAAAUGGUGCUCAAUAUCACCAAUCAUCAGGAAAAUGCAAAUCAAAACUACUUUGAGAUACCACCUCAUACGUGUUAGGGUAGCUAUUAUCAAAAAGACAAGAGCUAACAAGUGUUGGUGAGGGUGUGGAGAAGAGGGAGCACUUGUACACUGUUAGUGGGAAUGUAUUAUAGAUUGGUGCAGCCGUUAUGGAAGACAGUAUGGAGGUUCCUAAGUAAAUUAAAAAUAGAACUACCAUAUGACCCAGCAAUCCCUCUUCUGGGUAUAUCCCCAAAGGGAAUGAGAUUAUCUCUGCACUCCCAAGUUUAUUGCAGCACAAUUCACAAUAGUCAAGAUACAGACACAACCUAGGUGUUCAUCAAUGGGCAAAUGGAUAAAGAAACUGUGAUAUAGAGAGAUCAAUAGAUAGAUAAUUAGAAUAUUAUUUAGCCUUUAAAAAGAAGGCAGUCCUGUCAUUUGCCAAAACAUGGAUAGACCUAGAAGGCAUUAUGCUAAAUGAAAUAAGCCAGACACAGAAAGAAAAAUAUUGCGUGAUCUCACUUAUAUGUGGAAUCAAGAAAAAAAAGGUUAAAUAUAUAGAGAUAGAGAAUAAAACAGUAAUUACUUAGGUCAGGAUAAGGUGGAGGAAAUGAGAUGUAGGUCAAAGGAUGCAAAGUAGUAAAUAUGCAGGAUGAACAAGUGAAAAGAUCAAAGAUCAAAUGUACAACAUGAGGACUAUAGUUAAUACAUAUUGUAUAUUGUGUUCAGGAUUUUUUGCUAAAUGAGUAGAUUAUACCUGCUCUUGCCAAUGGGGGAAUAAUCAGUAACUAUGUGAGAUGAUGGGUAUGUUCAUUGUUCCACUAUAGUUUUACUAUAUAUAUAUAUAUAUAUAUAUAUAUAUAUAUAUAUAUAUAUAUAUGUAUAUGUUUCAUUUAACAUUGUGUUGUAUACCUUAAUAUAGACAAUAAAAUUUAUUUAAAACAAAAAAAA